rnacentral:misc_RNA from 1 species
GUUUCUCUGUAUUCUUCUUCGGUAUAUGCGUACUCGUCGACCCUUGGGUCUGAUUUCGUUCUUUAUGCGACGAUAUCGGCGGUCUCCUUUGUCGUAGGGUGGAUAAGUUUAUUUUCCAAAUUCACUGGCGUUUCCGUGUUAUAUGAUACGGCGAUUUCGCGAAGGUAUUUCAACAGUUGUCGUAAGAAGUUUUUAUACGUACAGGGUGUCUCGUUCUAAUCGAUCCACGCAGAUAUCUUGUAGCUCAAGUAUACGUUAUUGGAAAGAGCGCGUGGAACGAAACUUGUGUCGCGUAAAGUUGAAGGUUGGGUGAUAAAAUAAAAUAGCUGGGUCGUGGCACAAUUAUCAAUUUUGCCUUUAUUAAACUUUAUUAUGGAUUCAGCAAUCACAAUGGAAUACACACUGAAUUAACACACAUAAAUCACAACUCACGCCAACAACUUUAUGUAAAACCCAGUUACACUGAUACGAUAAGUACGCGACCGGUCUAAGGGUAGAAACUGGGUAAAAGGUGUC